GUUUUUCUGUGUCUGUGUCAUUGAAGGUAAAACCACCAAAACUAUAUAUUUCCUAAAAACAUACACCCUUGAGAUGUCAUUUAACAUGAGUUAAGAUAAGUCAAGCCCUCCAAGCCCUAAUAGUAGAGGCCUAUAUAUAUCAGUCAUACACUUGAUUUACCUAUAGUCUUGGACAACAAAGUGAAAGGAGGGUGGGACUUCUCUCAACACAUCUUUAAAGGUUAUCCCCUCAAUAUGUUUUAAUAGAUUCUAUAGGGUGUGUGCAGUUUUCCUUCAAUGACACAUGCCCAAAUGUACUAGUUGUUCAUUUUGAAUGGGAGGGCUACUUAAGGAAUUGUAGACUGGGUAUGUGACAAAAAAAAAUCUGCCUUGAUUUUUUUAAGACUCCCAUCCUCGAAGAGGCACACGCAGGCCACUUUGGGCGAGCGCGCAUGGAGGCCAAGAUCCGGCAGCGCUUUUAUUGGCAGAACAUCAGGGAGGAUGUGGACAACUGGAUUCAGACCUGCAUGCGGUGCCAACGCUUUGAGAGGGUGAAGACGGAGGCCCCGGAGAUGAGGCCCAUCAAGCCAGUUGCUCCCUGGCACAUGAUUGGUAGACUAAACAUCUCUGUGUAACAUUCACUGUUAUUUAAAAACCUUUGAUAGUAUAGCUGCAAAAACAGCCUUUUUUUGCCUUUGUGUCUCUUUCUCUGAAACAAUUACUUGCAGGUGUUGAUCUCAUCGGACCCAUGAAGGCGUCAAGAAAGGGGAAAAACACCUAUUGCCUCACAGCGACUGACUAUUUCACCAAGUGGGUAGAGGCUAUUCCCAUCAAGAGGAAGGCAGCCGUGUUGACUGCGGAGGUAAGGCUAUGAUGGAUAUUUUGUGAAUUAUGGUGAUGUAGUGAUUUCUUAUACCACUGCUUGGUUGAAUAAGUGUGAUAAUGGAAUUCACAACGUUUGAAUAUCAAAAGUUAAUGCACUAUGAGGUGUAACAGUCAUUAGCUUUCCAUAUUCGAACGUCGUGUCAUCCAGUAUCAUGCUGCCUAAACUGGAAUGUAUCUUUACAUUUUGUUGCUUUUGUUAAGGCUAUGAUGGAUAUCUUCCUGAAACAUGGUGCCCCGGAGGUCAUCU
rnacentral:lncRNA from 1 species